ensembl:lncRNA
AUGGCCGACAAGCACCGCAGCUGCUGCUCCGCAAAGACGAUGGAGGAGCCGAUGCGAGAAACGAGACUGACGGCGAACGCUGCUGACACAAGCUUCAAGAGGCUCGGAUUCCUAUUUCAAAAGAGACUUACAUCAGCUUUCAUGGAAGACCGAUCAAAACCUUGUACUACCCAACGCACAGCUUCAGGAACAGUCGGGCAGCGGAAGUUACAGCUCAGGUGCUUGUCGGCCAUCUUGGACGCGUCAUCAGUGACGCCCGUCAACCUGAGCUAAAUAGUGACGUCAUUACAGCGCCAUGGCCCAUCUCGGAAGUAUCUUUAUGUGUAGUGUAACCAUAUCACUUCCACCUGGUCAAUGGAUAUUUAAUAGUUUGAUGGAAGAUUUAUUCAAUCCUCCAUCACAUUAUUAAAGAGCAUCAAUUAUAACAUGUCACAUGAUAUGAUUUUAUUGGGAAUAAAAUGCUUUGAUUUGAAUAUUCAUUGCUAUUCCUUCACAAACUCCAAGGGACUUUUUGGAUUCACUUUAAUAAAAGUGGGUUCAUUCAUAGUGAAACUUUUGAUCAGGGAACAUCAGUCCAAACUAAACGAAUUACAACAAUUCCAUAAUUAAAUGUUGUAUGAUGCACAUUAUAUCGCCCGAAGUUGGCGGGGAUGGACUCC